AUACGAACUGUGCAAACGUUAUUCGGAAUCACUGGGCUUAAAGGGUGCGUAGGCGGCAAUGUAGGUCAGGUGUGAAAUCCCACGGCUCAACCGUGGAACUGCGCUUGAAACCACAUAGCUUGAGGGAGAUAGAGGAGAGCGGAACUGAUGGUGGAGCGGUGAAAUGCGUUGAUAUUAUCAGGAACACCGGUGGCGAAAGCGGCUCUCUGGAUCUUUUCUGACGCUGAGGCACGAAAGCUAGGGGAGCGAACGGGAUUAGAAACCCCGGUAGUCC
rnacentral:rRNA from 1 species